rnacentral:rRNA from 1 species
UACGUAGGGCGCAAGCGUUGUCCGGAAUUAUUGGGCGUAAAGAGCUCGUAGGCGGCUUGUCACGUCGGGUGUGAAAGCCCGGGGCUUAACCCCGGGUCUGCAUUCGAUACGGGCUAGCUAGAGUGUGGUAGGGGAGAUCGGAAUUCCAGGUGUAGCGGUGAAAUGCGCAGAUAUCAGGAGGAACACCGGUGGCGAAGGCGGAUCUCUGGGCCAUUACUGACGCUGAGGAGCGAAAGCGUGGGGAGCGAACAGG